rnacentral:snRNA from 1 species
CUCUGGUGGAAGCCCGCAGCGA